CGGAUAUUAAUUUAACAAUCAAAUAUUCAUUGGAUUAUCAAAUCGGAUCGAAUCAAAUAAAUAUUCGUAACGGAUCCAAUCGAAUUUGGACAGAUCCGAUCCAUAUGCGAUCCAUUGACAGCUCUAGUCACGUUGGUCCAAGCAUCCUAGGGAUGGCAAUGGAGUGGGUUCGGGACAGGGCACGUUUGUUGCCCCGUUUAAUUUUUUUCUUUUAUCUUUUUUUACAUUUUCAAAUAAAAAAAUUAUUAUUAUUAUUAUUUUUUAUUUUAUUAUUAUUAUUAUUUUUUUUUUUUGCUUCAUGGGAUAAGUUCAAGGGGCGGGGUUUUUUCGCAAUUUUUUUGCUGUCCCUAAAGCAUCCUCGUCUUGUAUGGCCACCCAUAGACAAACCAUGUUGCGGAAUUGUUCUUGUUUUUUUUAUUAAUUAUUUUUCUCUUUUAAUUGGGUGGGCUCUUUUUUAUUUAAGCCUCCAUUUGAUCCACAUUUUUUCUCCCAUAAUGCAUUUUUUUACACCACAUCAUGGUGGGACCUCUGCAUUAUUAUGCCUCGUUCAUAAGUAGCUUCCGUUUGAGCCAUAUUAUUCUAAAAAUGAAAAUUAAAAAUAUAGUCGUUAUGGGUUCCACAUGAAAGAUAAAUAAUCAAAUAUGAUAGCUUGAUAUAAUGAAUUAUGGUCAUAUUUUUUAUUUUAAUGAGAAAAUAAUGAGACUCAAACAGGGCAGUAAUAUAUGAAACCACCUCUCCCAUUAUACCCAUUUGUCAUUUUAUAGUGAAACACAAGCUAACCCAUGGGCAAUUGUUUGAAUAGUCAAAGGCUGCCAUUUCCCUAAUUGAUGUCAAAGCUAAGCACACGUGAAUCACAUAUUGCCCAUCGUUACCGACACAAAUUAAAAAAAUGACCAUCGUGUUGGGAAUUUACUUAAACAUUCGCAGUGGAAAUAAAAAUAAUUUCAAUUCCCACCAGGAUUCAUCUUUGUAUUUAGAUAGGAACUGUGAUAAAAGUUAUACUUUUCUUGAAUUUGCAAACUCAUUUGCGUUAUCUUUGUUCCAGCAAUUUGGAUCUGCCUCCCACAACUGUCCAAUUGUUUAGCAUCCAAUGAAUUCCACACAGAGAACAGAUUGCAGCCACCAAGGUUUUCUCCUCUUGUGCUAGCA
rnacentral:lncRNA from 1 species